AGAGUUUGAUCCUGGCUCAGGAUAAACGCUAGCGGCAGGCCUAACACAUGCAAGUCGAGGGGCAGCACGACGUAGCAAUACGUUGGUGGCGACCGGCGGACGGGUGCGCAUCGCGUGAGCAACCUACCUCUUUCAGGGGGAUAACCCGGCGAAAGCCGGACUAAGACCGCAUGUUUUGCUUUGGGGGCAUCUUCGGAGCAACAAAUAUUUAUAGGGAAGAGAUGGGCUCGCGUCCCAUUAGCUAGUUGGUGGUGUAACGGACCACCAAGGCGACGAUGGGUAGGGGUUCUGAGAGGAUUCACCCCCACACCGGAACUGAGACACGGUCCGGACUCCUACGGGAGGCAGCAGUGAGGAAUAUUGGACAAUGGGCGGAAGCCUGAUCCAGCCAUGCCGCGUGCAGGAUGACGGCGCUAUGCGUUGUAAACUGCUUUUGUUCGGGAACAAUGGCGCCUACGCGUAGGCGUUUGAGUGUACCGUUCGAAUCAGCACCGGCUAACUCCGUGCCAGCAGCCGCGGUAAUACGGAGGGUGCAAGCGUUAUCCGGAUUUAUUGGGUUUAAAGGGUGCGCAGGCGGUCUUCUAAGUCAGCGGUGAAAUUUUCCGGCUCAACCGGGACAGCGCCGUUGAUACUGGAGGACUUGAGCGCGAGCGAGGCUGGCGGAAUGCGCGGUGUAGCGGUGAAAUGCUUAGAUAUCGCGCAGAACUCCGAUUGCGAAGGCAGCCGGCCAGCUCGCCGCUGACGCUCAGGCACGACAGCGUGGGGAUCGAACAGGAUUAGAUACCCUGGUAGUCCACGCCGUAAACGAUGAGCGCUCGCUGCUCGGGGGUUUACCUCCUGAGCGGCCAAGAGAAAUCGUUAAGCGCUCCACCUGGGGAGUACGUGCGCAAGCAUGAAACUCAAAGGAAUUGACGGGGGCCCGCACAAGCGGAGGAACAUGUGGUUUAAUUCGAUGAUACGCGAGCGCACAAGCGGAGGAACAUGUGGUUUAAUUCGAUGAUACGCGAGGAACCUUACCCGGGCUUGAAAUGGAGACGAAUAACUUGGAAACAGGUUAGCCAGCAAUGGCGUCUUUGUAGGUGCUGCAUGGUUGUCGUCAGCUCGUGCCGUGAGGUGUCGGCUUAAGUGCCACAACGAGCGCAACCCCUGCCGCCGGUUGCCAGCGCGUAAAGGCGGGGACUUCGGCGGGACUGCCACCGUAAGGUGCGAGGAAGGUGGGGAUGACGUCAAAUCAGCACGGCCCUUACGUCCGGGGCGACACACGUGUUACAAUGGGGGGUACAGAG
rnacentral:rRNA from 1 species